CACUUUACUAUAUACAAACAACUGGUGCAAGGAUUAUUUCUCAGUAUAAAUAUUUGCAGCAACCAAAGGUGAAAAAAGGGGACAUAUGCACCAUACAAAAUUACCUAGACAGGAUCUGACAAAAUAAAUCCAUCAAAAGCAACUAUCAAUCAGCUUACCUGAACAAGGUAGUAAAAGAUGCGAAGACCUUCUGGAUCUGCACUACUCUGAACAUCCACCAGAGACCCAAUCUUGGAGGUUGUGAAGGAGAUGUGCUCGUUUCCCAUCACAAUCUCAAGCUCCUGCCUGCCAACACGGUCAGGUUCCGGCCAGUUGUUAUCAUCUUCCUUCAUGAUCUGAACAAGACCAACUCAUCAGAAAGCAGAACAAAGCAAAAACAAAAACCCUCAAAAGACUUUUGAGAAGGAAUGGGUUAAAAUACUCAAAAUAGGCAUCGCUCAAGUGACGGGUUAUGAACUAACAAGGCACCACAGAAUCAAAUUAGAAAAUCUACAUGAUAGUUAUUGCAGCAUAGUGUGUCAUGGCUAUGUUUCCAUUGUUAUCCAAGCACAGCUUGGUUCAAAAUGAAAUAAGAGGAGUUUAGCAGUCUGUUAGAUGUAUGCAUCUAGAGGAAGAACAUGCAAAAAAUAAUAAUGCCCAAACAUCUUUACUUGAGAGACAAUCCUUUUCCUAACCUAUGGCACAAUCUUAAACUAUUACAUAAAAUCAUGAAUAGUAAAAGAAGCUUGCAAGUUUUCAUAAAGAUGAACGGUUUAUGGGUGUAAACUUGUAGUGAGAACAUAUUCUGGGUGCUGCUGCUCCACGUGAUGCAAUCUUCUUAUAAGUACCAUAUCAGGACUGUUCAAAAGGUUUCUGGUGCCGGCAAUUCGGCAAAAAUAACACUAUAUUCUAUCAUAAGAUCAACAAAACGGCAAACACUACAAAUAUACAGCAAUUUCUUAAUUCAGCUCAUCAUUAUCAACAUGCUUAAACGAAUUGUACCAUAGAUGUCGAACACAAGAAGAUUCCAAUUUAAAUGGUACACAGCACAACAUCUUUGCUUAAGAUUCAAGGGCAGAUGAAGAAACUAAACAUUGUCGGUUCAUUGUCACCGAUGCCAUACAGUUGAAAAGAAUGAGAGCAUUACGAGAACAAGUUAACCCAUUAUGACAACUAACACAGAAGAUAACAAGUGCAAGCAUAAAAAAGAACAAAUAAAAAAAACACAAUCUCUUUCCGGAUCAAAAGGAGAAUUUGAAACUUGAAAGUAACAAACUCAUUACAAAACAAGUGGCACCUCACCAAUCACAAUCCAAACGAGCUAGACACGAAUUUUGCACAAAAUGAACAAUCUUAUCAGCAUUCCUUUAUUGGACAAGUUCAUCUCUUCCCAUGCCAAAAAACCACAUAUAUUACAGGUUUUCUACGGUAAGCCUAAUUUAUCCCCAUCAUUUUCUGAAUGGUAAUAGAAAUUGUUUUUUUCAGGACCUAAGAAACUAUGCUCUCCCAUGUUUUUUAAUUAUUAACAAUAUUAGAGAUUUACUGAAAAACAAAAAAGCACAGUAAGUAAACCCCCAAAUUCUACUAAAAUCCACGGAUUUAAACUUCGAUUGCGCUGCGCAAAACAGCAGCAACCGAUGCAGUGGGCACCGCAACAGAAAUCGAUCUAAAACCUGACUCUAAGAAUCUAAACCCUCAGAAAUUCAAAUUCUGACAAUAGCCUCUCUCAAUUUUUUUUACUAUUCUAAAUAAUUUUUUGGUUGUACUUCGCAAAUCUGAGGCGGCAAUACCGAAAUGCGCUUCUCACUCAAACAAAACAAAUAAAUAAAUAAAUUGAAGAUUAUAACCCUAAAAGUUAAAGAAAAGGAAGAAAAGAGCGUGUGAGUUAGUGUCGUUUACCUCGCUGUCGGAGAUGAUACGACGGCACUCGCGGAGAACGGCAGGGGUGAGGUAAACCUCCUUGCGGAUGAUGGUGUCGUUUUUGUAGUUGGAGUUGUUGGCGUAUCGGAGCUUGCCAUCUGGCCUGAACUCGAACUCCAAGAACUCGUGACCGAACUUCCCUUUGUGUCCCACGUAAUAUCGAAGGUAGAACUCUCCGUUCUCCUCUUCGCUCGUCAUUUCUCUGCUUUUCUCUUCUCUUUUGGGUUUCGCUUUCUCUCUGCACAACGACGCAGAGAAAAAGAAAGCCAAAGAAGCAGUGGUAAUUUGGUAAAUAUGCGUUGAGGUGUGUAAAUCCCUAAAUGGGCUGAAAGCCCAAUAUCCAUCUGAACCAAGGAUGCCAACAAUAAUUAUCAAGCCCAAUUAAUAAAAAAUGAAACAGCCCAUAGGAAUUAAGUAAAUAUCAUUUUUGAUCCGCCAGAUUCAUCACUAUUUUUUUAAAGGACAAAGCAUUCCCUAUUCCCUGGUUACUUAACAUAUUUUCCUUCAACUCAAACAUGAGAUCAUAUGAUCUUCUCUCUGCAUCAUAUGUCAAAAACUAAUGCUUAUUAUUCCAUGCAUAAUGAAUAUCUUAAUUUCACAAGAAAUAUGAAAGGAAUUUUCUACUAGCUGUCAAGCAUUCUCUUCAUCUAGUUGAUUGAGUUGAAUAAAUGUAUAUAUUUCAAGGUAAGAAAUUCACAAUAUUGAAACAUAUAGUAAAAUGUCAAUGAAGAAGGUGCACAACAGAGAACAUGGAAGAGAAGUACUGGAUAGGAAAUCAGCUGUUAACUAAUUCUGUUAAAAAUUGUAAUGACACGAACAGAAUGAGAGGAGAGGAAAAUAGGAGAUUGGCCAAAGCUUGGAGACGGAUUUCAAAGUCAGAAAGGAAGUUAGGUCAUGAAAGAAGGCAAAACUCUCAAAAGUUCCUUUAAUAUGACUCUGAGUUAAACAUGUAUAAAAGAAAGAAACAUGAAAGUAAAAUCAAUGAGAAUAAAGUGGACAGGAAUGAAGUUGUGAAGAGUUUGGACGGUGCUAUAUAGACUACUGCAACUUUUUUUGGCAUCAUAAAGACACAAGAUGAGUUGUUUGCCAAAGAGUUGCCCAAAAAUAUCUAAUUGGGCAUUAAGGAUUAUUGUUUUUUAGAAGAGAGAACACAAAAAGGAGCUAAGACAAGAAGGUGCUUAUAGAGUUAAAAUCUUUUCUUCAGUGAUAGUAACAGCAAAAAAACUGGAAAUCAAGUCAGAUCAUCUAGCACAGGAGCGAUAUAAAAUUGAUAUAAUGAUCAUAUGAUAUGCUUUUAGUUCAUCUACUUCCAGAUAUAGCAUUUGACCAAAGCAAAAAGCAUACGAAACACCAUUUAAGCGGUGAUGAAAGUUAGUUAGAAAAUUUCUACCAGAAGCAUCUCCAUAGAGAAGUUGGUGUGUGUGUGUGUGUGUGUGUGUAUAAGUGAAUAUAGUAAGAAUGAAAUAGAAUAAAUGUUCACUUUUUCCAGGAGGAGAAAACAAAAACAAAGUUUUGCACUUUACUAUAUACAAACAACUGGUGCAAGGAUUAUUUCUCAGUAUAAAUAUUUGCAGCAACCAAAGGUGAAAAAAGGGGACAUAUGCACCAUACAAAAUUACCUAGACAGGAUCUGACAAAAUAAAUCCAUCAAAAGCAACUAUCAAUCAGCUUACCUGAACAAGGUAGUAAAAGAUGCGAAGACCUUCUGGAUCUGCACUACUCUGAACAUCCACCAGAGACCCAAUCUUGGAGGUUGUGAAGGAGAUGUGCUCGUUUCCCAUCACAAUCUCAAGCUCC
rnacentral:lncRNA from 1 species